AUUGAACGCUGGCGGCAGGCCUAACACAUGCAAGUCGAGCGGAUGAAGGGAGCUUGCUCCUGGAUUCAGCGGCGGACGGGUGAGUAAUGCCUAGGGAUCUGCCUGGUAGUGGGGGAUAACGUCCGGAAACGGGCGCUAAUACCGCAUACGUCCUGAGGGAGAAAGUGGGGGAUCUUCGGACCUCACGCUAUCAGAUGAGCCUAGGUCGGAUUAGCUAGUUGGUGGGGUAAAGGCCUACCAAGCCGACGAUCCGUAACUGGUCUGAGAGGAUGAUCAGUCACACUGGAACUGAGACACGGUCCAGACUCCUACGGGAGGCAGCAGUGGGGAAUAUUGGACAAUGGGCGAAAGCCUGAUCCAGCCAUGCCGCGUGUGUGAAGAAGGUCUUCGGAUUGUAAAGCACUUUAAGUUGGGAGGAAGGGCAGUAAGUUAAUACCUUGCUGUUUUGACGGUACCAACAGAAUAAGCACCGGCUAACUUCGUG
rnacentral:rRNA from 1 species